AGCUCUGUAAGCGUAUACCAAAGUUGUUGCAGUUAAAACGCUCGUAGUCGGAUUUUGGCGUGGCCCGUGCUGUGCGCGUAGUGCGUGCGGCGCUGGGACGCGCUUUUGUGGAGGGCGGCGCGUUGUGGCUUCACUGUCGCGGCGUGUCGGCGCCACCGUUUACUGUGAAAAAAUUAGAGUGUUCAAAGCAGGCGUUUGCCGUGAAUACAUUAGCAUGGAAUAAUAGAAUAGGACUUGGUUUCUAUUUUGUUGGUUUGUGAGAGCCGAGUAAUGAUUAAGAGGGACGGUUGGGGGCAUUUGUAUUCCAGCGUCAGAGGUGAAAUUCUUGGAUUGCUGGAAGACAAACCGCUGCGAAAGCGUCUGCCAAGGACGUUUUCAUUGAUCAAGAACGAAAGUACGC
rnacentral:rRNA from 1 species